GCGGCUAGACGGAAAGACCCCGUGAACCUUUACUACAGCUUGGCACUGAACAUUGAACCUACAUGUGUAGGAUAGGUGGGAGACUUUGAAACCGCGUCGCUAGAUGUGGUGGAGUCGUCCUUGAAAUACCACCCUUGUAGUUUUGAUGUUCUAACGUUGGUCCCUGAAUCGGGAUUACGGACAGUGCCUGGUGGGUAGUUUGACUGGGGCGGUCUCCUCCCAAAGAGUAACGGAGGAGCACGAAGGUGGGCUAAACACGGUUGGACAUCGUGUGGUUAGUGCAAUGGCAUAAGCCCGCUUGACUGCGAGAAUGACAAUUCGAGCAGGUGCGAAAGCAGGUCAUAGUGAUCCGGUGGUUCUGAAUGGAAGGGCCAUCGCUCAACGGAUAAAAGGUACUCCGGGGAUAACAGGCUGAUACCGCCCAAGAGUUCAUAUCGACGGCGGUGUUUGGCACCUCGAUGUCGGCUCAUCACAUCCUGGGGCUGAAGUCGGUCCCAAGGGUAUGGCUGUUCGCCAUUUAAAGUGGUACGCGAGCUGGGUUUAGAACGUCGUGAGACAGUUCGGUCCCUAUCUGCCGUGGGCGUUGGAAAAUUGAAAGGGGCUGCUCCUAGUACGAGAGGACCGGAGUGGACGAACCUCUGGUGUUCGGGUUGUCAUGCCAAUGGCAUUGCCCGGUAGCUAAGUUCGGAAUCGAUAACCGCUGAAAGCAUCUAAGCGGGAAGCGAGCCUUGAGAUGAGUUUUCCCUGACGCUGAA
rnacentral:rRNA from 1 species